rnacentral:rRNA from 1 species
UAGGUACCGUCAAGACGCGCAGUUAUUAACUACACGCAUUUCUUCCCUACUGAAAGUGCUUUACAACCCUAAGGCCUUCUUCACACACGCGGCAUUGCUGGAUCAGGCUUGCGCCCAUUAUCCAAUAUUCCCC